AUGCUGCCGGCUCGUCCCCCUCCUCGUUCCCCACCGUCUCAAGCUUCAAUUUUUGCCACAUCGCCGGUGGUUGAUCUGCCGGCAGAAUUGCGGGCGGCGGCCUGGAGCGGCAGUACGCAAGCUCUGACUCCAUACCGAGCCAGCCGGCACACCCGCCAAGGAGCUCCGCCAGCCGCUGCCCUAGCGCCCGCGGCCGUCAAUGCGUGGUCGGGCGCCGCGUCGAUGUUGCCGCUGCUCGGCGCCGCCGUCGCCGACUCGUGGCUCGGCCGGUACCGCACCAUCGUCGCCUCCUUCGUUAUCUACAUCACGUGGCACAAAGGCGAGCUACCUUGGCGUGCAGAAGAGGCCCCCGUCCCUUGCCUUGUGCCCGGCGACCAACAACUGCGUGUCGACGUCCGAGAGGAUAAGCAAUUCCAAUCACUACGCUCCCCCAUGGGACGCACGGAAUUGCUCCUUUCCCUUUCUCUGCUUCUGCUUGGAGGGCGCUGCUGCUCUUCUUUCUCUUUCUCUGCUUCGAAGGUGGUGGUGGUGCUGCUACUGCUUGUAGAGUACUGCUGCUUGGAGGAUGUUGCUGGUCUUCUUUCCCUUUCUUUGCUUGGAGGGCGCUGCUGCUCUUCUUUCUCUUUCUCUGCUUCGAAGGUGGUGGUGGUGCUGCUACUGCUUGUAGAGUACUGCUGCUUGGAGGAUGUUGCUGGUCUUCUUUCCCUUUCUCUGCUUGGAAGGUGCUGCUGCUCCUCUUUCUCUUUCUCUGCUUCAAAGGUGCUGCUGCUGCUGCCUCGAGGUCUGCUGCUGCUAUAA
rnacentral:rRNA from 1 species